CCGCAUGACGCCUCCCGCACAGUUCUCCGAUUUUCAUUUUCCGCAAGGAAUGUCGUUAAGACCUCUCUGCAUGGCUGGAACAUCACAACACGUCGCAUCUCGCACCUGUAUCAGGAAUACCGAUGAUCGCUGCGGGUGGAUUCGUUGUGCCACGGUUGUCAACAACUGACAAGCCAGCCCCGCUGAGAGAAUGGGUUUCGGAACUUAACCCUAAGUAUCCCAUUGGUUCCAAGUUUUGCGCUCAUAGUCGUCCAAGCUGCUCUCUAAGUUCAAUGUGCCCGCCGGUUGAGUGUUACCGCUGAAAAGUUGUACUCACGAGACGGGGCGCUGAGGACGGAAAGGCGGGGAGGACAUUCCAGACAUCUUCGGAUGCGUGAGUGAUCAGUUCCCAUGAGUCAUUCGGUAAGAACCUCUGGUCUGAGGUCACUCGUCAGGGCUGCAUCGCUGGAACUCGAACUUUGGUCAUUAUGGUCGUUCUAGAGGUGUCACUCCUACGCUUCAGAUCACGUCUAGCUCAGUCUCAGCUAUUGUAUCCGCUUCGAGGCCGCCGUCUCAGCUAUGAUCGCCUUCUCGUUUUAUCUAAGGGAAGGGCACGGCAUUGGGCCCAUACGAUCAGUACCCUAGACGCUUCCUUUUGCCCCGGAUUCACCUCGCAGCACGAGGAUCCGCACGCUACAUACAGAAGUGUCGCAAAGGGACUGAUGAUCACUUACCAUGCAGACCUGCCCUGGGUACCCGAUGAUCUACGAUGCACUUUGUUGCCUUUUCUCGACGAGCUAGACGUUGACCUUACGCAGUCUCGACUCUCAGGACCACGCCACGGCAACAGCCACCGGCGUGUCACGCAUGCGUGUGACUGACCAGGCGCAUCAGCCUGCAUCCGUGUGUCUCGUCUCACGGAUCGCCAGGACGCCAAACGUAUCGUUGUUACCGCUUAGUACUGCGAUAAAUUUCCUCUCGUCAACUAGAAAUAGACCAGACUGGAGACGACAGCACGGCUUUUGAGGAUGUCUUUUGUCCGCGCGAAUUGCCCUCCUAUACAAGCCAUCCCCGGCUUCCUCGAUGGAGAGGAAACAAAAACUAAUCCUUGUUGGCAAUGCGAUCACACGGAAAGAGCUUCCUCUGGACUUUAUAUGGGAAAACCUUGUCGCAUUGCCGCACGUGGCCUCAGCGAAAGGUAUAUUGACGACGGCAUGAUUUUCAUAAGGAAAGACAGCGUGAAGGAACUGAUGCGCUUGCAAAGCGUGAAGCUGACGGGAGCGAGCAACAAUUUCACACGAUUUGAGGCUACUGAACCUCUUGGGACCGAUGAGGAGCACCUGGAUUCUCCGAAGCAGCACUGGGACCCAUCUCGAGUUGGAGUCAAGGUUUCGUGCCUGUCCGGUGUUGUGGGAGGAGUACAGAUGGUCUUCUUUGAGGAACUUUAGGCGCGGUGAAAGAGAAUCGGUAAAACGUCUUUGGAAAGGGGCAGGCAAUGAUAUGCAGUCCCGGUUGCUCUUCCUUCAGAAAUGGCGGAAGGGCAACCCC
rnacentral:telomerase_RNA from 1 species